rnacentral:rRNA from 1 species
UGUAGUCUCGCACAGAUGCAUAUCAAUAAGCGGAGGAAAAGAAACUAACAAGGAUUCCCUUAGUAACGGCGAGUGAAGCGGGAAGAGCUCAAAUUUGAAAUCUUGAAAGGUCACCUUUCACGAAUUGUAGUUUAAAGAAGUGUUUUCUGUUACGAUCGUAAUAUAAGUUCUUUGGAAUAGGACAUCACAGAGGGUGAGAAUCCCGUCUAUGAUUGCGAUUUGUAGCUUUGUGAUACACUUUCAAAGAGUCGGGUUGUUUGGGAAUGCAGCCCAAAACGGGAGGUAAAUUUCAUCUAAGGCUAAAUAUUGGCGAGAGACCGAUAGCGAACAAGUACCGUGAGGGAAAGAUGAAAAGAACUUUGAAAAGAGAGUUAAACAGUACGUGAAAUUGUCAAAAGGGGAGCGUUUGACACCAGUGUUGUUUUCUCGAAAAUCAAUUAAAAAGAGUUAGAUUUUGUUGUGUAUUGACCUUAACAGCUUGCAUUUCAAUUUUCUUGCUUUUUUUAAUGCACUUUUCGUUUAACAAGUCAACAUCAGUUUCUUUUGUUGUAAAAAGGUCAUUGGAAGGUGGCUUUCUUUUCGGAGAAAGUGUUUAUAGCCUUUGACUCCUGCAAUCGGAGAGACUGAGGUCUGCAGCGUAGGAUCCUUCGGGGUUAGAUACAUUUGUGCUAAGUUAUAGCUUUUUAUAGACAACUUGUUGACUAUGAUUAGUCUUGUAGCUUACUCGCUUAUGCUAUUUUACCUACGCUUAGGAUGUUGAAGAUGUAGCACAUCAU